rnacentral:rRNA from 1 species
AGCAUAUCAAUAAGCGGAGGAAAAGAAACCAACAGGGAUUGCCUCAGUAACGGCGAGUGAAGCGGCAAGAGCUCAAAUUUUAAAUCUGGCGCCUUCGGCGUCCGAGUUGUAAUUUGGAGAGGCAUCUUCCGGACGGACCCAGCCUAUGUUCCGUGGAACCGGACGUCAUAGAGGGUGAGAAUCCCGUGCACGGCUGGGCGCCCCGCCCCUCACGAAGUGUCUUCUACGAGUCGAGUUGUUUGGGAAUGCAGCUCAAAAUGGGUGGUAAAUUUCAUCUAAAGCUAAAUACCGGCGAGAGACCGAUAGCGCACAAGUAGAGUGAUCGAAAGAUGAAAAGCACUUUGAAAAUAGAGUUAAAAAGUACGUGAAAUUGUUGAAAGGGAAGCGCUUGAGACCAGACUCGGCCUUCGGCAAACAGCCUUCCUUCUGGUUGGUGCACUUGUCGUCGGCCGGGCCAGCAUCAGUUGGGACGGCGGGACAAAGGCUCGGGGAAUGUGGCUCCCUUCGGGGAGUGUUAUAGCCUCGGGCGCAAUGCCGCCCGUCUCGACUGAGGACCGCGCUUCGGCUAGGAUGCUGGCGUAAUGGUCUUCAGCGACCCGU